GCAAGCUUUUUCAAUCAGAGCCAUUGAUUUAAAAGAUUUUAAAACCCUUGCUCUUAUCCUUACGGUUACCAAAUAUCACGAUCUGAUUGCAGCUCCACCGCCACGAUCUCUUAUAAUAAAAAAAAAAAACCCUAGCCCUCUUUUCCUUUAUUUCAUGGUGGUGUCGGUGGCAAGGACAAGUGGAUCUUCUUCUCGAGAGUUGUUUUGCUUCUUUCAAGAUCAGGAGUAGAGGUCAGUGGCAGAUAGCUUAGCAAGGAUCGUUGGGCCAUCGCCGUUUUAUUUAGCUUGAUUUGAGGCCUUAUAUGCCUACUUGGUUUCGGUCUUGUAGGUGUACGGUCGUUUGUCAGCAUCCCGGGUCCAUAAAGCUGGGUUCGGGGCGUGACAGACUUACCCACAUUGUCACCAAAAAAAAAAGUUUUAGGUGUCAAAAAUUACA